rnacentral:misc_RNA from 1 species
GAUGAAGAACGUAGCGAAAUGCGAUAAGUAGUGUGAAUUGCAGAAUUCAGUGAAUCAUCGAAUCUUUGAACGCACAUUGCGCCCCUUGGUAUUCCAUGGGGCAUGCUUGUUCGAGCGUCAUUUAAACCUUCAAGCUAAGCUUGGUGUUGGGUGACUGUCCGCUUCACGGCGGACUCGCCUCAAAAUUAUUGGCGGCCGGUACAUUGGCUUCGAGCGCAGCAGAAACGCGAACUCGGGCCCGUCGUAUUGGCUCCCAGAAGCUAUCUUCACAAUUUUGACCUCGGAUCAGGUAGGGAUACCCGCUGAACUUAAGCAUAUCAAUAAGCGGAGGA